GAUGAACGCUGGCGGCGUGCCUAAUACAUGCAAGUCGAGCGAACGGACGAGAAGCUUGCUUCUCUGAUGUUAGCGGCGGACGGGCGAGUAACAAGUGGAUAACCUACCUAUAAGACUGGGAUAACUUCGGGAAAACGGUGCUAAUACCGGAUAAUAUUUUGAACCGCAUGGUUCAAAAGUGAUAGACGGUCUUGCUGUCACUUAUAGAUGGAUCCGCGCUGCAUUAGCUAGUUGGUAAGGUAACGGCUUACCAAGGCAACGAUGCAUAGCUGACCUGAGAGGGUGAUCGGCCACACUGGAACUGAGACACGGUCCAGACUCCUACGGGAGGCAGCAGUAGGGAAUCUUCCGCAAUGGGCGAAAGCCUGACGGAGCAACACCGCGUGAGUGAUGAAGGUCUUCGGAUCGUAAAACUCUGUUAUUAGGGAAGAACAGAUGUGUAAGUAACUGUGCACAUCUUGACGGUACCUAAUCAGAAAGCCACGGCUAACUACGUG
rnacentral:rRNA from 1 species